CAGCCGCCGCGGUAAUACAGAGGGUGCGAGCGUUAAUCGGAUUUACUGGGCGUAAAGCGUGCGUAGGCGGCUUCUUAAGUCGGAUGUGAAAUCCCUGAGCUUAACUUAGGAAUUGCAUUCGAUACUGGGAAGCUAGAGUAUGGGAGAGGAUGGUAGAAUUCCAGGUGUAGCGGUGAAAUGCGUAGAGAUCUGGAGGAAUACCGAUGGCGAAGGCAGCCAUCUGGCCUAAUACUGACGCUGAGGCGCGAAAGCGUGGGGAGCAAACAGGAUUAGAUACCCCUGUAGUCCCUGUCUCUUAUAC
rnacentral:rRNA from 1 species